GGUCGCUGCUUGUCAAAGAGGUAGUCACGGACAGUCAAAAAUACUCCAUAUACUAGACGCCACAGCAAGUCCCUGCCUCGCAUCUUGUCAUAUCGAUCCACAAACCCUAGCUACGGCCGCAGUUCUUCUCUUUCCAAAGGAGCGAGUUCUCCGGCGAACUAAAUGAAUCAGUCCGGUGGAACAACACCAGCAGGCGGUGAUGGAGGGGGCUCAGUUGGUCUGGAUUCAGACGAAAACAAGACUCAAGCGAACGUAUUACAAGGCGACACGGUUCAGGGAGAAAGCAAGGUUCAGGCUUCUCCUAAUUUAGAUGAACACGAUGUAAACUCUGAAGGUUGGACAAGAAGAGAACGGGCGCUGCGUUCAGGAAACCAUGUUCAGACAGAUGCAGCCAGAUGGAGAUAGCACUUGGAAAUGCUGGGAAGAUUGGGCAGGAAGUUGUUUUUCAGCCAUUUAAAGGGAUGGAAUUCGACUCAGAGAAGGAUGCAUUCGAAUUUUUCAAUGCAUAUUCUUGGGAAAUUGGUUUUGGUAUCAAGCAUGGCAAUAAGUACAUCAACAAGCACGGAUUCAAGACAAAGCAGGACCUUUUGUGCUCAUGCGAGGUAAGUAAGUACAGUAAACGCGUAUGAUUGGGCAAUAAUAAUAUU